GACGAACGCUGGCGGCGUGCUUAACACAUGCAAGUCGAACGGAAAGGCCCUGCUUUUGUGGGGUGCUCGAGUGGCGAACGGGUGAGUAACACGUGAGUAACCUGCCCUUGACUUUGGGAUAACUUCAGGAAACUGGGGCUAAUACCGGAUAGGAGCUCCUGCUGCAUGGUGGGGGUGGGAAAGUUUCGGCGGUUGGGGAUGGACUCGCGGCUUAUCAGCUUGUUGGUGGGGUAGUGGCUUACCAAGGCUUUGACGGGUAGCCGGCCUGAGAGGGUGACCGGCCACAUUGGGACUGAGAUACGGCCCAGACUCCUACGGGAGGCAGCAGUGGGGAAUAUUGCACAAUGGGCGGAAGCCUGAUGCAGCAACGCCGCGUGCGGGAUAACGGCCUUCGGGUUGUAGACCGCUUUCGCCUGUGACGAAGCGUGAGUGACGGUAAUGGGUAAAGAAGCACCGGCUAACUACGUG
rnacentral:rRNA from 1 species